rnacentral:lncRNA from 1 species
UUAAUUCUUUUAAGGAGUUUUAAUGAGUUUUUAUAGGAAGUUAAUAACAUUUUCAUUUAAGAGAGACAAGUAUGUUAUCAGUAGGGAUAACAUCCAUGUUCGAUGGCUGUAUUGCCUCUGACAUUUUUCAAAUAUCAAAUCUCUAUUUUAUAAAGGAAAGGGAAAAAUUGAUAUAGCCUGAUAUUUUGUAUUAGUCAGGAUGAUUUGAGAUUCUUUUCCAUUCUUAGGACUUACUCAUUCAGUAAUGUAGUCUAACUGGAUUCCACUGGUACUUAGGUUACAGUAACUAAAUAUGGUUAUUUACAUUUUAGCCAGUUAGUCCAGCCAGAGCAUUUUAGUGCUUGUGUGCUAACUUUGGAUUGUGUUUAAGGUAUUUGACUUUACAGCAUGUUUAGUUUCUUUUCAUUUCUUAUUAGUAUUUUUCAGUACCUAAUAGUCUCCUGCCCCCACCUCCGACAAGAACUUUCCUCUCUGUUCAAACAUCACAAACGUGUUCCUUUUGGCAUGUGCUUUCUAGCUCCCCAAGCAGUCUAAGCAAAUUGGAAAGUUCAGCUGUCAUUCUUGGAAGGUCAUAGAUCACACUAGCAGCCCAAGUAAUCCAAGAGGUUUUAAGUAUCAUAGCAUUUAGUUUAAAGUGAAAUUUGCUCUGACAGGGCUGGCAGACCAAUAGGAAAAAGAAAUAUUUGUGCUUGGAAAAGUGCGUGUGUAGAGACCAAGAACAUAGCUGAUGGCUGGAAGUGAUUUCAGUCUAAAAAAACAAAUCAUUAAGAGAGUGCAGAGGGGUAAAACACACAGUUCAUAUUUUAAAGACUCUCAAAAUGAACCAGCAACUAAGGUUAGCAUUACACAGUAAUUAGUUUGGGUGUUCACAUUUAACUCACUCAGUACCAGACAGCGUGGUUAAUCUGUCACUGAGAAAACAUUGCUACUGAGCCCAUGCUCUCUACUUAAAACCUCUAACAGUAAUUUUUGUGCCUUAAGAAGAACAAAGACAUAAUGACAGAUUAUAUAAAUGCCAAACCAGUACCAGACAAGCAGUUAUUUACCAGAGGUGCUAAUGACUCAGUUUAUUGAUGGAGAAGUUACUUAAGCCACUCAGUAAGUGCUGGGAUUCGAGUCAUCAUUUGACAGUAUAGAACCCACCAGUAGUUUCAAGAAGUUCUCAUGCACGAUUAGGACAUGUAGUCAAAGAUAGCUAGAUGUUGUGCCCUAACUAAAAGACUUCUCUAGAAGUCAGAGACCAUUCCAGGUGUAGGUGACUGCUCACUUCAGCUUGAUAAUCCUAUGUGACAAGAUGUAGUAGGUGCUAUGAACAAGGAAAAGUCAUGAACUCGUUAAUAACUGCAGUUCUCUCGUUUUAAGCUGGCUUUGGAAAGCCAGUCUUCGAUCAGAACAAUACAAAGUGUGUAAGUAUUUUCCUUGAAUGUCCAGAACAGAUAAAUAAGAAUAGAAAGAAUUUCUAGUAAGAUGAGGCUAAUAAGGAAGGGCUCUUGGUGUGCAGAUUUGGGAAAAAAAAAAAAGACAGAAAUUCAGAAACCACUUCCAUGUAUGGAAAUGCUUGUGAUUUCCUUCAUGAUUGACAGUCCACUCUUACCCAGACAAGUGUUAGCCAUUACUCUGGCCUAGUGAAAAAAAGCAUCUAAUUCUCUCUCAAUUGCUGAUAAGAAGACAGGUCGAUAAGUCCCUUUGUUUGCGCCUUCCUGCACUGUGUGCGUGCCGCCGGGCUCCCGGGUGUGGGCACGUCACUGUUUGGUUAGAGGUGUUCUUAUCUUCCUUGUGAAUCUGCUCAAGACACCGCGGAACGUGGAUGAAGACAAGUAUUAAUUGAGAUUAGAGAAGAGCCAGUGAAGUGGGAUUUCAUUACCGACUGGAAUAAAUGAAAGACAUUCUUUACACACCCCCUCCAUUGGUGUGAAGUAGUUUUUAUCUGAAGCAUCAGCUAGGCACUACUGAAUGAAUCUGCCCCACAGUGUUUUCCCCUUACAGCUGGGAGGUGCCAUUAACAAAAACGUCUAAUGAAUGCCAGAUUAAUGACUUAAAUACAGCCUCCCAAUACUUAUAUAAUUUUCCCUUUAUUUUUGAAAAAGUGAGAUUUCAUUUUAAAAUAUUAUUUAUGGGGCUGGAAAGCUGGCUAAGUGACUAAGAGCAAUUUCUCCUCCUCCAAAGGACUUGGGUCAGUUUCCAGCACCCAUGUCAAGCGGGUCACAACUGGGUCUAACUCCAGCUCUGGAGAAAGCAACGCUUUCUUCUGGUCUCAGAAGGCACCUGCAUACACAUGGCAUACACAGAUAUAUACAAAGGAAACAAAGAAACCUCCCAAGUAUUAUUUAUGCUUUAUUAAUAAUAAAAGGCAAAAUAUAAUUACGUAUAUACAAUACACAAAAGUAACUGUAAAUUACAGCUAACUUGUGUGUGUGUGUAUGUGUGUGUGUGUGUGCACAUGCCAGGCUCAUUAAGAGACUGCAUAAUUAUACUCUUGAAGUUUAUUUUCUCAACGAUAUAAUGAUUCAAUUUCAAAACAAAAAUGCCUUAAAAAUAUAUAAAAAUAUAUGUAUAUUACCAUUAAACUUAUAAAAAAUAUGUUUUUGAUGUUGGUUCCAUUAUGAUUUUCAAACUAUGCUGUAAAAAUAGUACUAAAUAUGCCAGUUAAAUUUUCAGUUGCAAGCAAGCUAGGCAUAGUGGCUCACACUUUUAAUUACAGCAGUUGGGAGGCUCAGAGGUAGUCGAAUCUCUGUGAGUUUGAGGCCAGCCUGAUCUACAUAGUGAGUUCCAGGUAAGCCAGAACUGCGUAGUGAUACACUAGCAGGG